GCGCUCGUAGCUCAAUUGGAUAGAGCAUCUCGCUACGGACGAGAAGGUUUGGGGUUCGAGUCCCUACGAGCGCG
rnacentral:tRNA from 1 species